UGCUGUCAGUCUCCGCUCCUGCAGAAAGCGGACUCUCACCCCGGCUCCUGCGCUGGGAAACCGGCUCGCCCCAAACCGUUAGGAGCCAGCUGAUGCCCCAAAGAUUCCCUCCUGCUUGAUGUCCUCCCGUUACAAUGCAACCCCGACAGCUCUGGGGAGAAGAAAAGAGAGAGGAUUCGAUUCCAGACUCUUAAGCGAAUGUGUCCACUAGGUGUCACCCAGCCCCUUAACAAGCAGUAAGGAAUUAAAGAAGGCGCAGCGCACACGGCACCUGGUAGGAUUGGCACUUCCCUGGCCCACUUGAAACACACAGAAAUACUGCUUAACUUCCCAUCAGCUCAAAAAGCUAGACUCAGCAUAAAUGUAUCUCUUCAUUCAGCAGGACUGACUCAAGUAAAAGAAACUUCCUUGUUCUAACAAGUCAAAAGGGAGAAGAGGAUUUAAUGUAAGAGUACAGAGGAGUCGUUGGGGAAUCCGAUGACCGAGAUCCAGCCCGGCCUCAGAGACCAACUAAAACCAGGCACUCCAUUUCAUUGGGCCUUUAUCUCCAUCCCUUGUGUCUGUUCUCUGCCUUUCUGAGGGGCUUCUAAGAACCCACAUUUCUCUCAAGCAGCUUGUUACUGUCUAUUCCUCUUUCUUCCCCCUCUAGACCGUAGGUUCCUUGAGGGCAGAACUGUGCCUUUAUUUUCCCGUCCUCAGAACUUAGCAGAAUACAACCAACAGAGCUUACAGGAGGGGGGAAAGGCCGACAAGUAACCUGACCCUUAAUAUACAACCCAGCAGGUACUGAAACAGGCGUUUUCAGGGCGUUUUAGGAGCCAGAGGAGGAAGCAGCCCCUCUCUAUUGGGCGGUCGGGAAGACUCAGAAAUGACACCUGGAAGCUGCUGCUUGUCCUCUGACGGGGCCGGGGGGGGGGAGGGGGGUCCCCAAAGGAAAAUACCACAAACAGCAGAGAACCUCUUUGAGAGCCUCCCAACCCUCUAGGUCUCCACCGAAAUGAAGAGGGAACACCCAGUGUCUUUCUGCACAUCCCUUGAAGGGACAAAUUGUAAGGCAGAGACCUUGGUGGUCGACUUCGGCCUCACUUCGGCCAUUCCAGCUUUCUUCCAGUUCUCUUUCCCCUCGUCGGGUCUUGGAACAUUGUCUUGCCUCAGCCUAGAGCAGCGGUUCUCAACCUGUGGGUCGCGACCCCUCUGGGGGUCAAACGACCCUUUCACAGGGGUCGCCUAAGACCAUCGGAAAACACAUAUAU